GUGUCAUUUGAAAGGAGAGACGGUUAGCACUCCCCUAGACAAGGAUGGAACACAUAAAUGGUUAAGUGGCACUUGAAAAAGGCUUAACCGACCAUUUUUUUUU